AUGGAGGGGAGCGGCGGCGGCGGCGAUCACUUCAUCCUCGUCCACGGCCUAGGCCACGGCGCGUGGUGCUGGUACAAGCUGGUGCCGAUGCUGCGCGCCGCGGGGCACCGUGUCACCGCGCUGGACAUGGCGGCGUCGGGCGUGCACCCGGCGGGCAUGGACGAGGUGGCGUCCUUCGAGGACUACUCGCGGCCGCUGCUCGACGCCGUGGCCGCGGCGCCCGCCGGCGAGAGGCUGGUCCUGGUCGGGCACAGCCUCGGCGGGCUCAACAUCGCGCUCGCCAUGGAGAGGCUCCCGCGCAAGGUCGCCGCGGCCGUGUUCCUCGACGCGUGCAUGCCGUGCGUCGGCAGGCACAUGGGCGUCACCAUGGAAGAGUUCUCCAGAAGAACCACGCCGGAAUUUUUCAUGGACAGCGAGAGGAUGGUUCUGGAGACGAGUCAGGGCCCUCGACCUGCUCUCGUGUUCGGCCCCAAAUUAUUGGCAGCAAAACUGUACGAUCGAAGCCCAGCUGAGGAUCUGACGCUGGCUACGAUGCUGGUGAGACCCGGCCGCCUGUUCGUGGACGACGCGAUGGUAAAGGACGAGACGCUGCUCACGGACGCCAACUACGCGUCGGUGAAGAAGGUGUACGUGGUGGCCAUGGAGGACGCUUCCUUCUCCGAGGAGAUGCAGCGCUGGAUGGUGGACCUCAGCCCCGGCACGGAGGCCGAGGAGAUCGCCGGAGCCGACCACAUGGCCAUGUUCUCCAAGACCAGGGAGCUCUGCGAUGUUCUGCUCAGGAUCGCCGGCAAAGCAUGA
rnacentral:rRNA from 1 species